GAAAUAUUUUAAAAAAAUAAGCUUCUAACUUAAUUUUAAGCAUAAUGUUUGUAUUUCU
rnacentral:tRNA from 1 species